AUUCACAGUGACAGAGAUGGAGUUGAGAUGUUGUUGAUCACAGCAGGAAAUGUCAUCAUAAGAAUUUUGUAAAUGAAGAUUUAAUAAGUUCAUGUGGAUAGACCACUUAGAACACUGCCUUCCACAGAGCAGAUCCGAGUUUUGCUGGAUACAAAAUUCUCGGUUGGCAGUUAUGCUGUUUAAGAAGGCUAAAGAUAGGACCACAAUCUCUUCUGGCUGAUGUGGAGCAAGAUGGCAAGUAGAAUCCUUGACUGAUCAUUGUCCCUGUGGGAAUACCACAUUGAACAACACCCCCACACAGAAAAAAGCACUUUCAUAGGAACCAGAAAUCAGGUGAGUAGUCCGAGUACCUGGUUU
rnacentral:lncRNA from 1 species